rnacentral:rRNA from 1 species
UCGAGGAUCUUCGGCAAUGGGCGCAAGCCUGACCGAGCGACGCCGCGUGUGGGAUGAAGGCCUUCGGGUUGUAAACCACUGUCAGUGAGGAGGAAGGCUCCGUGAAGAGCGGGGUUUGACCUAUUCGCAGAGGAAGUGUGGGCUAAGCUCGUGCCAGCAGCCGCGGUAAGACGAGCCACACAAACGUUAUUCGGAAUCACUGGGCUUAAAGGGUGCGUAGGCGGCGCGGAAAGUGGGGUGUGAAAGCCCUCGGCUCAACCGAGGAAUUGCGCUCCAAACUACCGUGCUUGAGUGAGACAGAGGUAAGCGGAACUUCGGGUGGAACGGUGAAAUGUGUUGAUAUCCGAAGGAACACCGGUGGCGAAAGCGGCUUACUGGGUCUCAACUGACGCUGAUGCACGAAAGCCAGGGUAGCAAACGG